AUACGUAGGUGACAAGCGUUAUCCGGAUUUACUGGGCGUAAAGGGCGUGUAGGCGGUCUUGCAAGUCAGAAGUGAAAUUCCUGAGCUCAACUCGGGCGCUGCUUCUGAAACUGCAGGACUUGAGUGCUGGAGGGGAUAGCGGAAUUCCUAGUGGAGCGGUAAAAUGCGCAGAUAUUAGGAAGAACACCGGUGGCGAAGGCGGCUAUCUGGACAGUAACUGACGCUGAGGCGCGAAAGCGUGGGGAGAAAACAGGAUUAGAUGCCCUGGUAUUCCACGCCGUAAACGAUGAAUACUAGGUGUAGGGGGUAUCGACUCCCUCUGUGCCGCAGUUAACACAAUAAGGAUUCCGCCUGGGGAGUACGGCCGCAAGGUUGAAACUCAAAGGAAUUGACGGGG
rnacentral:rRNA from 1 species